UGGUGACAAGUUGAGGCUUGUUCAUUUGACACAGUCCUGUGGUCACAGCAAAUCUUUCUAAAGCUCUAACCAGUAGAAAAGAGGGUUGUAUGGAUCCUCUGAACCCUGAGUGGAACUUCCUGAAAGAUUUAUUAGGAGAAAAACCUUCCUGGAAGCAGCAGAAGGACAAACACAGAGUCUUUGCCUGGGCAGAGAGCCUCGUGGCCUGGUCUCCGUUAUAUGAGAGGAGACACAUCUUGAAGGUGAGGACUGCCUCGUGGUCUCAGCUGUUGGCAAGAGAGCCCGACUGGAAUUCCACGUGUGGAUCUGGUGAUGGAAAAGCUGGGAAAUGGAAGAAAGAAUAAGAAUCAACGUUUCCUGGAUGGCCACCCCGUACCAGGCGUGAUGGCACACGCUCUUUACUGAGGACCAGUAUGGCCUGAUCUUUUGACCAGAAAGGAAUUAAGAAGAUGCCCGUUGUGAUGGCUGCGCCUGUCAGCUGUGGACCUUCAUUCGGGGAUUUUCUGAGCCGUGUGGAUUUACAGUGAUAUUCAGCCACCUGGGGAAUCACGCUGGGGGAAGCAUUCUCUGGAAUUACACAUACCCGGCACAUUUCUGGAUGCUAAAGGUGGUUUUAAGGAAGGCCCUGGCUGCGUGCCUUGUGGAUUCCUGCAGCCUGGACGCCUGUAGGGGACAAGGACCACAGCUUCCUGAGAGGUCUCUGUCCUCAUCUUGGACUGGAAUGUUCAGUUGGGUCUCUGCCGGCUCCUUGUGGGGGCUCCCUGUGAAAUAAUCCUGUUAUACCUGGGAUUUCGGUGCCUUUAAUCUGAAAAAAAUACAUACCCAUUCAGCACUCCAGAGGGACUUGAGAACUGUCCUUUGCUGAACUAAAGCUGGAAUAUCUUGGGAUUUGGAGAAUUAAGGACACAGCAAGAAGGUGGCCAUGUGCAAACCAAAGAGAGAGCCCUCAGAAGAAACCAGACCUGUUGACGCCUUGAUCUUGGACUUCCAUUUCCAGAACUGUGAGAAAAUAAAUUUCUGUCGUUUAAGUCACCUAGCCUAGGGUAUUUUGUUGGGACAGCCUGAGCUAAGGCAGGGGGACUAGGGCUAUCUUAGCUCCACAUAGAGAUGUGGAGGGGAGAUGGCAGGUGGAGGUGGACUUUCAUGAUGGUUGUCUCCAAAUAAUGAAAAGCUGGGAGGAAGGCAGUGGGUCAGGCAUGUCUUAUAUGGCCCCAAAGAUCACAACCAAGAUGGAGAGAUGGAAAUAACAGGCAGACAGAUGUCAACUGAAUAUAAGGGAAUGGAGCCUUAUGGAUGGAAUGAGUUGUCUCAGACAGUAGUCAGGGUCUCAGUGCUGGAGAUAUCCACAUAGAGGCCACAUUGAGACUGAGAGGGCAGAGGGUGGAAGGGGUCUAAGCAUCGCGCUGUGGUGUGACCCUGUAAGAUCCCUGUAGACCCUGAGAUUCUGUGAGCCCAUGGUUAAUCAUUACAAAUGGGAACAAUAUCCCCUCAAUUGUAGAACACAUUACGAUUUCCAAAGCAUUUUCAUAUGCAUCAUCUCAUUUAAUUCAUAGGACAACCUCAUAGUUGAUGCCCAGUACAAGUUUGCUGAAUGAAGGAAUGAAUGAAGGAGCCACUGCUAUAUUGUGGAUGACUGAAGAGGAAUCUGUGGGCAGAGAGAUUUCUUGACUCAUUACUAAAGGCCAAGCCAGGCUUGAACCCCGAUCUCUGCCAACCCCAUCACUCGACCUGACUUCCUCCAAGUUGGCAGUGAUAACACUUUCUCUUAGGGUGGGCUUUUUCUGUUCUUGUUAAUAAAUUAUUCAGCAUCCGUAUCCCCUUUAAUCCUCACAAUCACCCUUGAACCAGCUAUGAUUAUUAUUAUUUUGCAGAUGAGAAAACUGAGGCUCAGAGAGUAGAGUGACUUUGGCGAGGUCUCCAGCUCCUCUUGGGCAGGACAUUAGGUUUGCGGGCAGUGGGCAUCCUCUCCAAGCUAAUGGGAGUCCAUGCCCUUGACACUGGUGGGUGUGCAAGUAGUUAUGGGCCACAGGCAGAGUUGAUGGAGACUCUGUUUCUGGUUACAAUGCAGUUGAAUUGAAUAGGUAGUCUAGGGAAACAGUAGUUAAAACAAUCAAGUCAUCCUUUCUUGUCCUCAAGCCUGAUUUCCACCACUCUCUGGGCAGUUCCUCCUGCCAGAGCCCUGGUCUGUGCUGCUGGGAAGGCAGUGGAAUUUGGAAACAUCAGCCCAGGAGUUCUCAGCCCUGGCUGCGUACCAUAGUCACCUGGGAGCUUGCAAAAAAAUGCCAGUAUCAGUCUCUCCUCCACCCUACCCCUCAGACUAGGAUUUAAUUUGGUCUAAGGAGAGAUCUGGGCAUCCGUGUGUUUAAAUCUCUUCGGAUGGUUGAGAAUCAUCGAAUUGGUGUUGGUGUGGGGCAGAUUUGUGCAUGCGGGUUUACAGGUUAUCAUGAUGAGGUGUCAACGCUGAGGUCUCUUUUGUUCCCAUGGUCUGCCUGGCCCCGUGCCAGUUGCUUUUUUGUUUUGCAGAAAUGGUGUCAUUUCUCCUUCCCUCUGACUCUCCUGAUCUGAGGUCGUGAUCUAGGCCACUACGUGAAGUCGCACCACAACUCUCCUCUUCAUUGGCUCUGUGACCUUGGGCAGGCCACCUUCACUUCUCUGCGCCUCUGCCUCUGUCUCCUCCUCUGUAAGAUGGAAAUAGUGAUGCUAAUUUCCUUAUGAGGCUGUUGUGAGCAUUAACUCUUAGGACCAGGCCUGGUGAACAGCUAGGGCUUCAUGAGAAUUGAUGGUUGCUCUCAUUGUGGUAGUGGCAUGGUGUGUAUGUAAAUAUAUAAUACUGGUCCUGUUUUCUUUUGUGUGUAAGCAUAUCAUUGCCUUGUGUAUAUCUCUCGUAUGGAAUUAUGAUGUGCUUUUGUGUCUUUAACGUGAUGUAUCCAUUCCACAAUGUUUCUUGAGCACUUGCUGGGUGCUGAGGAACGGACAAGAGAGAUGCAGUCUGUGCUCCUCAGGGAAUGUGGUCUCUGAAGGAGACAGAUGAUGAACAAGAGAUGAUAAUAGUGUACAGUGGAUGCUAUGGAGGCAGGUCAGGGUGCUGUGGAACAUGUAACAAAUGGUUCUAAUUCUUGCCUGGAAGUUGGGAGGACAGUGCUUCUGUGAGAGCUAAUUGCUUCUCCUGCAUUAUUUCUUUGUCUUCCACAUCUGAUAUCCUUGGACUUACUGUAAUUACUUACCUGUUCGCUCUCAAUAUUAAUCUAUAGUCAUUGCUUUGGGCUUAGGAAAUGCAUUUUGUUCAUUUCUGUAUUUCCAAUGUGCCUCAUGCAUUCAUUGAUCCAUUUGGUUCAUUUCAGCUCAAGCCACACAUUCCGAGAAUCGGUGUUAAAUGCUGGCAUCACACAGAUAAAAAGACUUUCACAAAAAUCCUCACAGUCUUCUGGGAAAGACAGACAUGUAAGCAUACGUAGGUUCAGACCAUCAUGAUUGCUAUGAUAGCUGUUAGUCCUGUGAAGAAUGGGGACCCAAGGGGUGGUGGGCCCUUGACACGUGGGCCUGAAAUAAACAUGUCUGAGUCUCUCGUUAAGCCUUGGUUUUUCAAGGUCAGGGAUUGUGUCUGUUUUUGCAUGUAUUCCCUCCCAGGGUUCAGGUCACCCCUACCGGACACAUAGUAGGUGCACAUGGAAUCACAGAGAAUCACUCGACAGACUGAAUAUCUUUUCUCGAGGAGCUUGUCCUCAUCUCUAGACAGAAAGUUAGGUGAUCUGUUGAAGCUUUCAGUCAGUGCUCCCAUUCUAGACUCCUGUGUUGGUUGCUGAAGCAUCCUUCCUCCCUGGAGCUGCCUGAGAAGGUCACUAUUUUGCGAUGUUGUCAGAUUCUCAUCAUUGCUUGAAGGUGACUAAUUAUGAGUGGGGAAGUGAGGGCCUUGAAAUACCCCUGUGUGCACAUCUGGCCACACUGUCAAAUCCAGGACUCAUUUCUGAUAACUUAUUUGGCUUCUGUGAAGCAGCCUGGCCGUGGGUGGUACUCAUAAUAAACUGAUCGGGGAGCCCAGAC